GGAUGGAUCAUUAAAGUAUCAGCUAGACUGAAGAUUGUUUGUCUGCUCAAUGAAGAUGACAUCUUCUGGUCCAGUCUUCCAAUUACUAUUGGUGACGACGAAGAUGUGUGGACUGAACGACGAAAACCCCACUCGCAACGAGCAAGACGCUUGGGGCGGACCGAACCACACACGGUCCUAGCGUCUUGCUCACCAGUCGUACCUGGCGGCCUGUCAUCAUGAGGCUUGUCCGCUGACCCUUGUAUAAUUAUUGGAAUCGCCUUCCGUAGGUUUCGCCCCGUUAUAAGGGCAACCUUUAAUAUUCUGGCCUCAGUGUCGCGGAUCGCAGCGUAGCUGUGAAUUAAGGAGGUACGCCUGAAGCAGCAUUCUGCGAUCUGCCCCAAUCCUAGCCUGACCAGCCCAGUAACGUUUUGAAAUUUAGUCGUCUGCCCAUCUCAUAUAGCAAAUGCAAAAUAUAUGGCCACCUAUUACCUAGAGGGAUUGAGGAGGUGGCGGGUUUGACGCCAGCUUAAAUCACACACAACCUUUCUACACUAGUAAUGCUUUGUGCAGUUAUUGUUGAAUACCGAUGAUCUUUUGAUAUAUAUUCUAUACAACUGUUAGCAACGGAUCACUCGGCUCUCGCGUCGAUGAAGAACGUAGCGAAUUGCGAAAAGUCAUGCGAUCUGCACAUCGUGAGUCAUCGAAUCUUUGAAUGCACAUUGCACCCGACGGGCUAUCUCGUCGGGUCUGCCUGGCUGAGCUGACACAAUCCAUGGCUGUAAUGACUCCGAUCUGUCCCUUCUCCUCUCCUCCUUUUCUCUAUAUCGGAAGGAGAGAGCAGUAGACAUCGGCAAGUCUUAUGUCGUGCUCGACGGUGUGUAUCACUGUCGGAUAUUGAGUGUCCAGAACUGCGCACACAUUGUGUGUGGUCUGGUCAUUUCAAAUAGAGCUUGCGAGGAUGCUUAAGCGUGAAUCAAUAUUAGCCGGCUCUGCCGGAAAUGGUUCAUGCCUAACAUUCCCGCAAAAGUCUACUAUCUCUAUACAAAAGUUGACUAGGGAACGUUUGCUUAUACUCUUCAUCAUAGAUGGUAUCCAACUCUCCAUCUAGCUUCCAAACUAAAGUCGGGGAAAGGUCGGCGAUCUUUCCACGGCGAGCGAUACAUAAAAGUAGUGCUAUGGUCAUUUAUGACUGACGCUCUCGCUCAAGAGUUGAAUGAAAGGAUCUGUCUGGCUGUGGACACCUAAAGAUAGGUCGUGGUGAAAUACCUCGUAUAUCCUCCCGGGCUUCCACAAGAAGUCACCUCUGCGUUUACGCUGGGUGGUGAUAGUUCUAGACUUAAUCCGGAAAAUUCGCGCGUGACGGGUGCAGAGCAAGUCGGUAAUAUGCAGCCUUUAAGCAUACAGCUACUUGCUACUCCUUAAGCGGCCCAUUCUGGCAUGGGUGGGGGUCACUCCUCAGUGUUGACAAUCCGUACAAGUGGAAAGCAGUGCGGUAAUUGUCAAUGCCUUGAUUAUUGGUCAUUAACAGACCGGGAGCCAGCCAAUGCCCCGGAGCGCUGAAGACCGCCUAUCUCGUACCAUAUUGAGCAGCGGUUAUCAGUGACUUACUAAGAUGGACCCUCUAAGGGCUUUGCCGCCCCACGGAUCUUGCGGUAAGAGUUCACAGCCGGGUGGGUGUCACAAAUUCUCCAUAAGCAAACAACAAACUUCUCUUCUCUAUACUCUCUGUGUAUAAUCAUCAUCAUCAUCAGUCACUCAGAUUAGGCAGGACGACCCGCUGAACUUAAGCAUAUCAGUAAGCGGAGGAAAAGAAACUAACCAGGAUUCCCUUAGUAACUGCGAGUGAAGCGGGAUUAGCCCAAUUUGAAAAUCAGACUGGUCUCAGUCGUCAGUUCUGAAUUGUAUUUUGUUGAGGCGUGGCCGAGUCUCGGGUCUUGCGACUAAAGUCCCUUGGAACAGGGCGCCAGAGAUGGUGAGAGCCCCGUGUCUGGUCGCACGACAUACCUGCUCGAGGCGACUCCGGUCCGUUCUCUUAGAGUCGGGAUGUUUGGGAUUGCAUUCUAAAGUGGGUGGUAAACUCCAUCUAAGGCUAAAUACUGGCGAGAGACCGAUAGCGAACAAGUACCGUGAGGGAAAGUUGAAAAGCACUCUGGAGAGAGAGUCAAACAGUACGUGAAAUUGCUAACAGGGAAACGUUGGGCGCCAGUACGCGAUGCUUGGAGACCAACCGUGGUGUCGAUUGUGCACUUGCAUUCUCUAGCCAGGCAAGACGCGCUCUCUCAUGUGUGUGUGUCUGCCGCUUGCACUUGUAUCAGUUGUCUCAUUGCCACGGCCUACGCUCUCUGUGUCGGGUCAAUCUCUGUUUCAUUGCGAUUCCUUCCUAGAUGCCGAUUAGGGAAUGUGCCAGGGCUGCUUGCGGACUUGGCCUUACCAGCCCUUGAUCGAUUGCUAGGUCGCAUGAGACUGAGGACACAGCUCGAUCCCAAUUCUCUCUUCUCGGAGGUUCUGGGUGACUAGGCGGCUUGUUCGUGUGGCUACUAGCCUGUCCAGCUCUAGUCGAGGCCAGCUUGCUGACCAAAGGCUAGCCUAAAAGCUAGACUCGAUCGAGUCCGACCUAUCGGGCUACUGAUGAUUGACGAAAUGGCAUUCAACGACCCGUCUUGAAACACGGACCAAGGAGUCUAACAUGUCUGCGAGUGUUUGGGUAAGCAAACCCGAACGCGCAAUGAAAGUGAGGAGCUUGUCAGUCCGACAAAGCCGCUUGUGCUAUCGUCGCGUCUCUUUCAAUCUAGAGGCGUCGCGUGCCCACGAACCGGCCGGCUUCCCUCAGUGGUGGUCGAGCCGAGUAGGAGCAUACAUGCUAGGACCCGAAAGAUGGUGAACUAUGCCUGAGCAGGAUGAAGCCAGAGGAAACUCUGGUGGAGGUCCGCAGCGGUUCUGACGUGCAAAUCGAUCGUCGGACUUGGGUAUAGGGGCGAAAGACUAAUCGAACCAUCUAGUAGCUGGUUCCUGC
rnacentral:misc_RNA from 1 species